AUGCAAGGAAUCAAAUUUGAUCUUAUAGUUAUCAUUGACAAUUGGAAGGAUAUGACUUACAACUGCAAUGAGACUCUGGUAAGGUAUAUUUUAGUUAAAAGACACAGGACAGGGAAAAGAAUAUUAAGAAGAUAUAUUUUGUGUGAGGAAAUCCAGGAACCACAGAAGGGAAGAGCAUUGAAAAAGCAGAACCAGGAACCAAAAGGUAGAAAUUAUUUAAAGGCAACUUUAAAAUUAAGGAUUCCUACCAAUCUGGCUGAGGAGAAUGAAAUGAAACAGAUCAAACAAUUGGAGAACAAUGAAGUAACUGUGUGGGACAGACUCUUACAGAGAACACCAGUUUUCCAGUUUGCAAAUUUCCAGCCUUCAUGGAAAUGAGCUCAGUUUGCAUGAGGAAAGUAAAAGGGGGAAAAGAAAUACCUGUAAAUAAGAAAAAAAAUCUAUGAUUUAUGAUAUUUUUAAGAAGCUAG
ensembl:lncRNA